CCUACGGGUGGCAGCAGUGAGGAAUAUUGGUCAAUGGGCGGGAGCCUGAACCAGCCAAGUCGCGUGAGGGAAGACGGUCCUAUGGAUUGUAAACCUCUUUAGGCGGGGAGCAAUGCCGGGCACGCGUGCACGGAGGGAGAGUACCCGCAGAAUAAGCAUCGUCUAACUCCGUGCCAGCAGCCGCGGUAAUACGGAGGAUGCGAGCGUGAUCCGGAUUUAUUGGGUUUAAAGGGUGCGUAGGCGGAUUUUUAAGUCAGCGGUAAAAUGUCCGGGCUCAACCCGGGCCGGCCGUUGAAACUGGGGAUGUUGAGUGGGCGAGAAGUAUGCGGAAUGCGUGGUGUAGCGGGGAAAUGCAUAGAUAUCACGCAGAACUCCGAUUGCGAAGGCAGCAUACCGGCGCCCGACUGACGCUGAGGCACGAAAGCGUGGGGAUCGAACAGGAUUAGAUACCCUAGUAGUC
rnacentral:rRNA from 1 species